GCCUUUGUAGCUCAGUGGUAGAGCAGCUGACUUGUAAUCAGCAGGCCGGGGGUUCAAAUCCCUCCAAAGGCU
rnacentral:tRNA from 1 species